UACGUAGGGUGCGAGCGUUGUCCGGAAUUAUUGGGCGUAAAGAGCUUGUAGGUGGUUUGUCGCGUCUGCUGUGAAAAUCCGAGGCUCAACCUCGGGCCUGCAGUGGGUACGGGCAGACUAGAGUGCGGUAGGGGAGAUUGGAAUUCCUGGUGUAGCGGUGGAAUGCGCAGAUAUCAGGAGGAACACCGAUGGCGAAGGCAGCCUCCUGGGCCAACACUGACGCUCAUGCACGAAAAGCGUGGGGGAGCAAACAGG
rnacentral:rRNA from 1 species